UACAGAGGAGCCAAGCGUUGUCCGGAUUGACUGGGCGUAAAGCGCACGCAGGCGGUUGCGCGCGUGGGGGGUGAAAUCUGGCCGCUUAACGGCCAGGCGCCAUCCCAUACGGCGCGACUGGAGUGAUGCAGAGGUCGAUGGAAUUGCCGGUGUAGUGGUGAAAUGCGUAGAGAUCGGCAGGAACACCCAGGGGGAAACAGGUAGCUGGGAGUGUGCUGACGCUGAGACACGAAAGCCAGGGGAGCGAACGGG
rnacentral:rRNA from 1 species